rnacentral:rRNA from 1 species
AUUGAACGCUGGCGGCAGGCCUAACACAUGCAAGUCGAGCGAGCGGCGGACGGGUGAGUAAUGUCUGGGAAACUGCCUGAUGGAGGGGGAUAACUACUGGAAACGGUAGCUAAUUCCGCAUACCCUCAGAUGUGCCCAGCUGGGAUUAGCUCGUAGGUGGGGUAACGGCUCACCUAGGCGACGAUCCCUAGCUGGUCUGAGAGGAUGACCAGCCACACUGGAACUGAGAAACGGUCCAGACUCCUACGGGAGGCAGCAGUGGGGAAUAUUGCACAAUGGGCGCAACCCUGAUGCAGCCAUGCCGAGUGUGUGAGGAAGGCCUUCGGGUUGUAAAGCACUUUCAGCGGGGAGGCGUUACCCGCAGAAGAAGCACCGGCUAACUCCGUGCCAGCAGACGCGGUAAUUC